rnacentral:ncRNA from 2 species
UAAUAGCGUUAUGCUUAAGGUUCCUUUGUAAUAAAGGAUCUAAAAGGGGAAGUCGGUGAAAAUCCGGCGCGGUCCCGCCACUGUAAACAAGGAGUUCUCUUCAGAUAUCCACCAUCAACUACUUUGAUGGAGGAGAGAACGAUGCUUUGAAGCCAGGAAACCUGCCUUAAGUAACAUCACAGA